AGAACGAACGCUGGCGGCAGGCCUAACACAUGCAAGUCGAACGAACUUUCUUCCUUCGGGUUGAAAGUGAGUGGCGAACGGGUGAGUAACACGUGAGCAACCUGCCCUUGACACUGGAAUAACAGUUGGAAACAGCUGCUAAUACCGGAUAUGACCUCUGACGACAUCGUCUGGAGGUGGAAAGCUCCGGCGGUCAAGGAUGGGCUCGCGGCCUAUCAGCUUGUUGGUGAGGUAACGGCUCACCAAGGCUUCGACGGGUA
rnacentral:rRNA from 1 species